rnacentral:tRNA from 1 species
GCGGGGUUAGUUUAGUGGUAGAACUAUGGUCUCCAAAACCAUCGGUGGGGGUUCGAUUCCCUCACCCCGUG